CCCUUCAGAGGGGGACAACAGUUGGAAACGACUGCUAAUACCGCAUACAAUCUAAUCUCGGCAUCGAGGAUGGAUGAAAGGUGGCCUCUAUUUAUAAGCUAUCACUGAAGGAGGGGAUUGCGUCUGAUUAGCUAGUUGGAGGGGUAACGGCCCACCAAGGCGAUGAUCAGUAGCCGGUCUGAGAGGAUGAGCGACCACAUUGGGACUGAGACACGGCCCAG
rnacentral:rRNA from 1 species